rnacentral:rRNA from 1 species
GACGAACGCUGGCGGCGUGCCUAAUACAUGCAAGUAGAACGCUGAAGGAGGAGCUUGCUUCUCUGGAUGAGUUGCGAACGGGUGAGUAACGCGUAGGUAACCUGCCUGGUAGCGGGGGAUAACUAUUGGAAACGAUAGCUAAUACCGCAUAAUAGUAGAUGUUGCAUGACAUUUGCUUAAAAGGUGCAAUUGCAUCACUACCAGAUGGACCUGCGUUGUAUUAGCUAGUUGGUGGGGUAACGGCUCACCAAGGCGACGAUACAUAGCCGACCUGAGAGGGUGAUCGGCCACACUGGGACUGAGACACGGCCCAGACUCCUACGGGAGGCAGCAGUAGGGAAUCUUCGGCAAUGGACGGAAGUCUGACCGAGCAACGCCGCGUGAGUGAAGAAGGUUUUCGGAUCUUAAAGCUCUGUUGUAAGAGAAGAACGAGUGUGAGAGUGGAAAGUUCACACUGUGACGGUAUCUUACCAGAAAGGGACGGCUAACUACGUG